rnacentral:rRNA from 1 species
ACGAAGGGUGCAAGCGUUACUCGGAAUUACUGGGCGUAAAGCGUGCGUAGGUGGUUCGUUAAGUCUGAUGUGAAAGCCCUGGGCUCAACCUGGGAAUGGCAUUGGAUACUGGCGAUCUAGAGUGCGGUAGAGGGCAGUGGAAUUCCAGGUGUAGCGGUGAAAUGCGUAGAUAUCUGGGGGAACACCGGUGGCGAAGGCGACAUCCUGGACCGGUAUUGACGCUGAGGCGCGAAAGCCAGGGGAGCAAACGGGA